UAGCCCAGGCUAAUUGACUAUAUCCAAAUUAAGUAUGCCAUCACUUUGCAUUUUCUCUCCUAUAAAGACACUCCAGCAAUUCGACUUCAAACAAGUAAAACUGUUUUGAACACCAAGGCUCUUGUUCACUUCCUAAAUUACCCCUAAUAGCACUGUUCUUGCUUUGUUUUUGAAAUUAAAAGCAGUUAUUUCAGAGUCUUGCUUGUGUCUCUGAUUAUAUUUAUGCACUAUUUAAAAUCACUGCUGAGGCCAAGGGUAAUUCGUACUGGUCAUCUUCUCUGGGUGUGAGUCAAAUAUAAGUUUAACAAUUAGCUCUGAAAACAUUCCAUUGAGCUGGGGAAUGCAACAGUCUUAUUACCUCAUCAUGGAAUUCUCUAGCUUAGUUAAUUUAAAUAUUGUUUCUUAG
rnacentral:lncRNA from 1 species